CCUACGGGUGGCAGCAGUGAGGAAUAUUGGUCAAUGGACGGAAGUCUGAACCAGCCAAGUAGCGUGAAGGAUGACUGCCCUAUGCGUUGUAAACUUCUUUUAUCAAGGAAUAAAAUGAGGCACGAGUGCCUGUCUGAAGGUACUUUAUGAAUAAGCAUCGGCUAACUCCGUGCCAGCAGCCGCGGUAAUACGGAGGAUGCGAGCGUUAUCCGGAUUUAUUGGGUUUAAAGGGUGCGUAGGCGGACUUUUAAGUCAGCGGUAAAAUCCUGGGGCUCAACCCCAGCCAGCCGUUGAAACUGGGGGUCUAGAGAGGGCGAGAGGUAUGCGGAAUGCGUGGUGUAGCGGUGAAAUGCAUAGAUAUUACGCAGAACCCCGAUUGCGAAGGCAGCAUACCGGUGCCCAACUGACGCUGAGGCACGAAAGCGUGGGUAUCGAACAGGAUUAGAUACCCGUGUAGUC
rnacentral:rRNA from 1 species